UACAGGGGGUGCAAACGUUGCUCGGAAUUAUUGGGCGUAAAGCGCGCGUAGGCGGCCACUUAAGUCGGAUGUGAAAGCCCCCGGCUCAACCGGGGAACGACGCAUGAAACUGGCAAGCUAGAGUACCGAAGAGGGGGGUGGAAUUCCCGGUGUAGCGGUGAAGUGCGUAGAUAUCGGGAGGAACACCUGUGGCGAAGGCAGCUCUCUGGGACGGUACUGACGCUGAGACGCGAAAGCGUGGGGAGCGAACAGG
rnacentral:rRNA from 1 species